rnacentral:rRNA from 1 species
CCUUAUAGCCAUAUCACAUUGCAAGCACCGCUUCUCAUACAAUCACCGAAGUUAAGCAACGCCGAGCCUGGUUAUAACUUAGAUGGGUGACCGCUACGGAAACCAGAGUGCUGUAAGUA